rnacentral:SRP_RNA from 1 species
CGGGUCCCGUGCAAGGGCUCCUUGCCUAACCCCGUCAGGUCCGAGAGGAAGCAGCGGUCUGCAGGACAGUCCUGUGCCGCGGGGUUGCCUGG